GGCCCCUUCGCCAAGCGGUAAGGCAGCGGAUUGCAAAUCCGCCACCCCCGGUUCGAAUCCGGGAGGGGCCU
rnacentral:tRNA from 1 species